rnacentral:rRNA from 1 species
GCUACGGGUGGCAGCAGUGGGGAAUAUUGCACAAUGGGGGAAACCCUGAUGCAGCGACGCCGCGUGAGUGAAGAAGUAAUUCGUUACGUAAAGCUCUAUCAGCAGGGAAGAAACACUGACCUUACGGUCAGCAGACGGUACCUGAGUAAGAAGCCCCGGCUAACUACGUGCAAGCCGCCGCGGUAAUACGUAGGGGGCAAGCGUUAUCCGGAUUUACUGGGUGUAAAGGGAGCGUAGACGGUGCGGCAAGUCUGGAGUGUAAUGCCGACGGUGAACUUCGGAACUGCGUUGGAAACUGGCGAACUAGAGUGCGGGAGGGGUAAGCGGAAUUCCUAGUGUAGCGGUGAAAUGCGUAGAUAUUAGGAGGAACACCGGUGGCGAAGGCGGCUUACUGGACCGUAACUGACGUUGAGGCUCGAAAGCGUGGGGAGCAAACAGGAUUAGAUACCCGUGUAGUC